rnacentral:tRNA from 1 species
UCCCUGUUAGCUCAGUCGGUAGAGCGUUCGGCUUUUAAGAAUUCUUUAAGAAGUCGACCGAAAUGUCCAGGGUUCGAGCCCCUGAUAGGGAG